rnacentral:rRNA from 1 species
GAGGGGUAACGGGGAGCUUGCUCCGCCGACGACCGGCGCACGGGUGCGCACCGCGUAUGGAACCUACCUUGUACAGGGGAAUAGCCCAGGGAAACUUGGAUUAAUGCCCCGUAGUACUAUUAUUCGGCAUCGUUUAAUAGUUAAAGCUUUCGGGCGGUACAAGAUGGCCAUGCGUCCCAUUAGCUGGUUGGUAAGGUAACGGCUUACCAAGGCUACGAUGGGUAGGGGCCCUGAGAGGGGGAUCCCCCACACUGGUACUGAGACACGGACCAGACUCCUACGGGAGGCAGCAGUGAGGAAUAUUGGACAAUGGAGGAGACUCUGAUCCAGCCAUGCCGCGUGCAGGAAGAAUGCCCUAUGGGUAGUAAACUGCUUUUAUACGGGAAGAAAAAGAGCUACGUGUAGCUUACUGACGGUACCGUAAGAAUAAGGACCGGCUAACUCCGUGCCAGCAGCCGCGGUAAUACGGAGGGUCCGAGCGUUAUCCGGAAUUAUUGGGUUUAAAGGGUCCGUAGGCGGGCCGAUAAGUCAGGGGUGAAAGUUUGCAGCUCAACUGUAAAAUUGCCUUUGAUACUGUUGGUCUUGAGUUAUAGUGAAGUUGCCGGAAUAUGUAGUGUAGCGGUGAAAUGCAUAGAUAUUACAUAGAACACCGAUUGCGAAGGCAGGUGACUAACUAUAUACUGACGCUGAUGGACGAAAGCGUGGGGAGCGAACAGGAUU